rnacentral:lncRNA from 1 species
AGUGUGCGAUCCAUUCCCCACAGGCACACUCUCAAAUCCCAUUUUAAUCCUUUGGUUUUAUUAACACUGGAGUCCCUGCAUCUGGCAUCAAGGGAGGGAGAACCUUCUGGAUUGGGGUCCAGUUUAAUGCUUUGAAAAAGAUCAGCCCCCAUCUCUUCCCACAUGAGCUACCAGAGGCAUGGAGCUACGGGAACAACUCUCCAGCUGCUUGUUCCUUGCUAUACUCCUAGCAACAAUUCCCUUUUCAGAUAAAAGUAUUGUCCAUAAAACACAUCUCUGCAGCACAGAAUCCCUGGGGGAGAUACUGACACCUGCACAAAAUCCCUGCUGAAAAAAUGGUUGAGGUUAACUUAUCCCUAGAAGACAAGAUUCUCAUUGGCACGAUUGUGGUCCUCAUUGUUAUCAUCAUUAUCAUCUUAAGUUAUUAUUGUUCAAGUAGGAAAAUCUUCCUUUUACAUUUUUAAGCUUUCUUCCUAUUUACAAUAUAA